GACGAACGCUGGCGGCGUGCUUAACACAUGCAAGUCGAACGGAAAGGCCCCUUUGGGGGUUGUCGAGUGGCGAACGGGUGAGUAACACGUCAGUAACCUGCCCUUGACUUCGGGAUAACUUCAGGAAACUGGGGCUAAUCCCGGAUAGGAAUCCUUGCUGCAUGGUGGGGGUUGGAAAGCUUCGGCGGUUUUGGAUGGACUCGCGGCUUAUCAGCUUGUUGGUGGGGUAGUGGCUUACCAAGGCGUUGACGGGUAGCCGGCCUGAGAGGGCGACCGGCCACAUUGGGACUGAGAUACGGCCCAGGCUCCUACGGGAGGCAGCAGUGGGGAAGAUUGCACAAUGGGCGGAAGCCUGAGGCAGCAACGCCGCGUGCGGGAUGACGGCCUUGGGGUUGUAAAACGCUUUCAGCAGGGGCGAAGCUUGUGGUGACGGUACCUGAAGAAGAAGCACCGGCUAACUACGUG
rnacentral:rRNA from 1 species